rnacentral:rRNA from 1 species
GGGAUAACAGUUAGAAAUGACUGCUAAUACCGCAUAAGACCGCGGAACCGCAUGGUUCUGAGGUAAAAACUCCGGUGGUGUAAGAUGGGCCCGCGUCUGAUUAGGUAGUUGGUGAGGUAACGGCUCACCAAGCCGACGAUCAGUAGCCGACCUGAGAGGGUGACCGGCCACAUUGGGACUGAGACACGGCCCAUACUCCUACGGGAGGCAGCAGUGGGGAAUAUUGCACAAUGGGGGAAACCCUGAUGCAGCGACGCCGCGUGAGCGAUGAAGUAUUUCGGUAUGUAAAGCUCUAUCAGCAGGGAAGAAAAUGACGGUACCUGACUAAGAAGCCCCGGCUAACUACGUGCCAGCAGCCGCGGUAAUACGUAGGGGGCAAGCGUUAUCCGGAUUUACUGGGUGUAAAGGGAGCGUAGACGGUCCUGCAAGCCAGAUGUGAAAGCUCGGGGCUCAACCCCGGGACUGCAUUUGGAACUGUAAGGCUAGAGUGUCGGAGAGGCAGGCGGAAUUCCUAGUGUAGCGGUGAAAUGCGUAGAUAUUAGGAGGAACACCAGUGGCGAAGGCGGCCUGCUGGACGAUGACUGACGUUGAGGCUCGAAAGCGUGUGGAGCAAACAGGAUUAGAUACCCUGGUAGUCCACG